UACGUAGGGUGCGAGCGUUAAUCGGAAUUACUGGGCGUAAAGCGUGCGCAGGCGGUUUGUUAAGACAGAUGUGAAAUCCCCGGGCUUAACCUGGGAACUGCAUUUGUGACUGGCAAGCUAGAGUAUGGCAGAGGGGGGUAGAAUUCCACGUGUAGCAGUGAAAUGCGUAGAGAUGUGGAGGAAUACCGAUGGCGAAGGCAGCCCCCCUGGGCCAAUACUGACGCUCAUGCACGAAAGCGUGGGGAGCAAACAGG
rnacentral:rRNA from 1 species